rnacentral:misc_RNA from 1 species
AUCUAUCUAAAUAUGAGGGAGAGUCCUCCCACAAAGAACAUCCAAAAUUAACAAAUUAUUUUAUGAACACGUAUAUAAUUUGGAAGUGGAUUAAUGCCGGUAAUGCUUUGUGAAUAAUUUUGCUGAUGAUGGGACCUUUCUUCAUUAAUAAAGAGUCCUCAUUAAUGAAGCAAACUCUCUAGGCUAUAAUCAACACAUUUCUUUUGAAUUAGAGUCCUAAUUGAAAGGAAUGAAAGUUUUUACCCAUAUUAAUCCAAUUUUCAUACACACGUGUCACGCCCUCAAAUUAUUUGGACGCCAAUGAAGAGGGAAAUGAUGAGUGAGCCGAGAGUCCUUCUCACUCAUUGUGAAUCUCUAGGAGUCAAAUAAUACUUCUUCAGGAUUAGAGUUGUAAUUCGGGAAGGGAGAAACUUAAUAAAAUAUAUAACAAAUUAAGCAAACACAAUCUCGGCUCACUUUAGGGUCAUCCCAUUUACUCGUGUUCUUGGGACAACCGGAAUAGUGAAAUAUCAAUCGUUCCUAUGAUAAGCAUUGGGAACCAACAUCGUAAUUUUAAUCCCAAAAUUAUCGAUUUUAAGGAGCGCAUCAUUAAAUCUACUUGCUCUCGUUGAGGGAUGAUCAGUGUUAUCAAAGGCGAGCGA